rnacentral:rRNA from 1 species
UACGUAGGUGGCAAGCGUUUGUCCGGAUUUACUGGGCGUAAAGAGCGCGCAGGCGGUCGUUCAAGUCGCGUGUGAAAGCCCCCGGCUCAACUGGGGAGGGUCACGCGAUACUGAUCGACUCGAAGGCAGGAGAGGGUAGUGGAAUUCCCGGUGUAGUGGUGAAAUGCGUAGAUAUCGGAAGGAACAUCAGUGGCGAAAGCGACUUCCUGGACCAAUACUGACGCUCAUGUGCGAAAGCGUGGGGAGC